GACGAACGCUGGCGGCGUGCUUAACACAUGCAAGUCGAACGGAAAGGCCCUGCUUUUGUGGGGUGCUCGAGUGGCGAACGGGUGAGUAACACGUGAGUAACCUGCCCUUGACUUUGGGAUAACUUCAGGAAACUGGGGCUAAUACCGGAUAGGAGCUCCUGCUGCAUGGUGGGGGUUGGAAAGUUUCGGCGGUUGGGGAUGGACUCGCGGCUUAUCAGCUUGUUGGUGGGGGAGUGGCUUACCAAGGCUUUGACGGGUAGCCGGCCUGAGAGGGUGACCGGGCACAUGGGGACUGAGGUACGGCCCAGACUCCUACGGGAGGCAGCAGUGGGGAAUAUUGCACAAUGGGCGGAAGCCUGAUGCAGCAACGCCGCGUGCGGGAUGACGGCCUUCGGGUUGUAAACCGCUUUCGCCUGUGACGAAGCGUGAGUGGCGGUAAUGGGUAAAGAAGCACCGGCUAACUACGUG
rnacentral:rRNA from 1 species